GAUGAAGAACGUAGCGAAAUGCGAUAAGUAAUGUGAAUUGCAGAAUUCAGUGAAUCAUCGAAUCUUUGAACGCACCUUGCGCCCUUUGGCUAUUCCGAAGGGCAUGCCUGUUUGAGUAUCGUGAACACCUCAACUCUCAUGGUUUGCCAUGAUGAGCUUGGACUUUGGGGGUUUUGCUGGCCUUUGGUCGGCUCCUCUCAAACGGAUCAGCUUUCCAGUGUUUGGUGGCGUCGCGGGUGUGAUAACUAUCUACGCCUGUGGUUUUCUGCCAGAUAACCUUCAGCGAUGGAGGUUCGCUGGGGCUCAUAAAUGUCUCUCUUCAGUGGAGACAGCUUUUUGGACGUUUGAUCUCAAAUCAGGUAGGACUACCCGCUGAACUUAAGCAUAUCAAUAAGCGGAGGA
rnacentral:misc_RNA from 1 species